AUGGAUUUGGCAGAAUCUACAAAGGCCCUGUUGCAAGUAUGGAAGGAACGGGACAUUCAGAUGACGGUGCUCACCAGCCUCACGGUGCAACUCUUCCUGCUAUUCACCGGUGACCUCCGGAGGCGCAGAAUCAGUGGGUUGCUUAGGUCCAUAAUUUGGCUGGCAUACGUGGGUGCUGAUCCUGUUGCCAUCUACGCCAUCGGCCUUUUUACCGAGGAAACACAUAAUUUAAGAAGGGAGCAAUCAUCGGGGGAUCAGACGCUGCGGCUCCUUUGGGCACCCUUUCUCCUCCUUCACCUAGGAGGACAGGACACCAUCACUGCCUUCUCCAUCGAGGACAACAAUCUGUGGCUGCGGCACUUGCUCAAUCUGGUGCUCCAAGUCACUCUAACCUUGUAUGUCUUGUGGAAGUCGUUUGAGAAAUUGGAAGUGCAGCUGCUAGCCAUUGCCAUACCAAUUUUUGUUGCUGGGACAAUCAAGUACGGGGAGAGGACAUGGGCACUCUAUAACGGGAGCCGAGACUACCUCGGUAGUGGCUACGAGAGGGAGGAGAAACCGCGACGGGAUUACAGAAGUACUCAUUGUGGUGAUGUCAUGGCAACUUAUGCUCUUAACACGGUACUCCGUGUCAGAGGAUUGCUUGUGGGACGAACAUUGUUCCAACUGGGAUGGGAGAGUCAGAAGGAGCUGGUGGGUGAUUUCGCAGUGCAUGGACAGAGAGAAGGGAAGCUCAAGAUCGUCAUGGUGGAGCUUGGCAUGAUGUACGAUCUCCUCUACACCAAGGCCGUGGUGUUGCAAAGCCGGAUCGGUCGCAUACUCCGGUGCUUUGCCGAGAUGUGCAUGGUGGUGGCCUUUGUGCUCUUCGUGGCAAACCCCAGGUUGCAUGCCCACCACAGCAGAGCCAAUAUCGUCAUCACCUAUACAUUGUUUGUUGGGGCCAUGUUUAUGGAAUCUUGUUCAGUCUCCAUGGUGAUAGUAUCAGUCUGGACAAGGGCGGGAUCGAAAAAAGGCAGCUUUCUCUAUUGGUUGUCUUGCAGUGCUUCCUCUCUUUGGAACGCCGUCAUGCGACGAUUUCAGACAAAUCAGCAGCAGCAGCCGUCCAUGGGGCAAUUUAACCUUGUAGACUACUCAAUUUAUGAGAAAUGCAUGCCCAGCCUCAUCUCCAAGGUCAUCACUGCACUGGGUCUGGAGAAAAAAUGGAGAAAUAUUUGGCAUGUCCAUCACAUCAAGGUGGACAACGAGAUGAGCAACUACAUCGAGACAUUGCUCUGCUCUGGGGUGGGAUCCCAGCGGCUAAAUCUUGGCCGGGAAAUGAACUAUGUGUUGAGAGCUCCUUUCGAGCAUGCCCUUUUCCGUCUACACAUCUUUACAGACAUGCAUUUGAGCAGGGUAGACUUACCAGGAGACGAGGAGACGGCACAGCUUGCGGCGGAGUGCAGGAAGCUAUCACAGUAUCUUAUUUACCUGAUGGCGGUUUACCCUUCCCUGUUGCCGGUGAGCAACGCCGCGCAAGAUCUUGAACACUUCUACGUCAAGUGGGUCAGAGACAAUACAGGCAGCAAUACCAUGAGAAAGCAAGAGAUUCUAAACAAGUAUGCAACUGAAAAGCUCUACAACGAGGAGGCCUACUCGAGGUCUCCCUUCGAACUGCUACCUCCUUCUGCGGAAUCGUUGAGGGUGAUAAAGGAGGUGUGGGCGAGGCUGCUCAUCUACGCGGCUGCCAAGUGCCCCGUGGAGCUACAUGCGCGGCAGCUCAGCGACGGGCUCGAGCUCCUCACCGUCGUCUGGUUGCUUAUGCUGCAUCAUGGUGCUGGGGAUGUGGGGUGGAGGGAGGUCGACCUCGUGGCAUCUGAUGACUCUGCUAUGCCUACAGCGGAGGCACUGGUGCCGUGCCAAGGAAGUAACUGGAUACGGCGUCAACCCAGGCAUCUCUACGCCUUUGAGUUCCAGCAAACACAAGAAGCGACAGCAUUUGUGGCAUCUUGGGCUCCCCUGCUUCCGGCAGAUGGUGUAGAUUUGACGGAGGAUAUUUUGCAAGGAGUGAUGUUCGGCUCAUUGCAACCCGCAGUACCCUCGUCACCAACGAACAACUCCACCGAAACAACAUCAGAGAUAGAGGAAACAACAUCAGAGACAGAGCAAGAUGGUCAUGUAGAACGGGGCAAAGAGCAUGCAGUGGACGUACCACCGGAGAUUGAGCACAAGGGCAAAUGA
rnacentral:rRNA from 1 species